rnacentral:rRNA from 2 species
UGGGGAAUAUUGGACAAUGGGGGCAACCCUGAUCCAGCCAUGCCGCGUGAGUGAUGAAGGCCCUAGGGUUGUAAAGCUCUUUUGUGCGGGAAGAUAAUGACGGUACCGCAAGAAUAAGCCCCGGCUAACUUCGUGCCAGCAGCCGCGGUAAUACGAAGGGGGCUAGCGUUGCUCGGAAUCACUGGGCGUAAAGGGUGCGUAGGCGGGUCUUUAAGUCAGGGGUGAAAUCCUGGAGCUCAACUCCAGAACUGCCUUUGAUACUGAAGAUCUUGAGUUCGGGAGAGGUGAGUGGAACUGCGAGUGUAGAGGUGAAAUUCGUAGAUAUUCGCAAGAACACCAGUGGCGAAGGCGGCUCACUGGCCCGAUACUGACGCUGAGGCACGAAAGCGUGGGGAGCAAACA